rnacentral:rRNA from 1 species
GAUGAACGCUAACGGCAGGCCUAACACAUGCAAGUCGAGGGGUAGCAGGAUUAAGCUUGCUUAACUGCUGACGACCGGCGCACGGGUGCGUAACGCGUAUGCAACCUACCUUAUACUGGGGUAUAGCCCGGAGAAAUCCGGAUUAAUCCCCCAUAGUACUAAUGAAUCGCAUGGUUUAUUAGUUAAAGCAUUGCGGUAUAAGAUGGGCAUGCGUCCUAUUAGCUAGAUGGUGAGGUAACGGCUCACCAUGGCUACGAUAGGUAGGGGGCCUGAGAGGGUGGUCCCCCACACUGGUACUGAGACACGGACCAGACUCCUACGGGAGGCAGCAGUGAGGAAUAUUGGUCAAUGGGCGCAAGCCUGAACCAGCCAUGCCGCGUGCAGGAAGAAUGCCCUAUGGGUUGUAAACUGCUUUUAUUUGGGAAUAAACCUCUUUACGUGUAGAGAGCUGAAGGUACCAAAUGAAUAAGCACCGGCUAACUCCGUGCCAGCCGCCGCGGUAA